rnacentral:lncRNA from 14 species
GUUUAUACCAUGUCUAAUGCAUUGCAUGCUGUUUCUUGUUCAGGUAGGUGAGGACUGAAGACUGUCAGGGUCUGAGUACCACAAUGGCUAAUCAGAUGUGAAGAUAAAUCAUGCUUGAACAUCUUUCACUAUGCAAAGCAGCACUUGGUUUGUAUGGGGACAAAGGAGAAAUCAAAGCCUUCUUAUAUCCACCAGUGUGUUAAUCAGACUGGUAACAGCUGGGAGACUCUCCAGUGUAAGGUCCAAUUGGGAGUGGUUGAUCCAUGAGCCCUGCAAUUGCAGUUUCUCUCAGCCUGUUCCUUGACAUUCAGUUCUCCAGGGAAACUGUGGAUUAACCAUCCUGAGAUCUCCCUUUCUGUGAGCUGAGACUCCUUCAGGUGGACACCUACACCUGGCUGUACACUUGAAUACUGGGAGAGGGAGAACCCAUUUGCUCACUACUUGUUCUGCACCCUGGACACAUCAUCCUCUUGGGUUCUAUACCCUUAAAAAUGCUGAUUUGACUAAGCUGCCUUGUCUUUAUCCCAGAGUUUCCAAUCCAGCACUGAAGCUCCAGCUCAGUCCGUUGCUGUAAUACUAAACACUUUUAUCUAUUUCCUUAGCAACUUCAUUAGUCUAUAAUCCUAUUAUUCUAUUCUAAAUCCUAUAUUCUAUUUUUAACGUUAAGAAUAUUCCUUCCCUUAUCCUUGUUGUGUCUCUAGCUUUGGAAAAGUCUCUUCUACUCACAAAACUACAAGCAGUUACCUCCUCAUACACAUGAAUAAGGGAUCCAAAUAGCACAGCCUGUAUCUGACACAGCCAAGAGCUGAAACAUUUCCUGUGGUCAAAGCAGCUUUAACUCCUGACCUAAAAUGCUGGCACUCAAAACUGGGAGACGGUGAUGCUGGAAUGUUAUAUCUGCACCCGAAACACCUACCAAACACAUCAGUGAACUUUGGAAUGCAGCACUGAGAUGGGAGCUCUUUCUCGUGCUUGGAGAGCCAAGGUGCACAAAGGCCUCCAGUCGACAAUGUUGCCAUGUUCAAUUUCAUCUAAGAAACACCUCUGUAGAUGUUCUUUUGCAGCUCUUGUCACUCUCUCACACUGGUAAAAUAAAGAAGUGAAA